AAACAAAGGUAAAAAAGGACAUGUGUGUGCCGCAAUUACGGACAGUCCACCACCGAGCGUUGAUCCUGGGCUCCUGCAACGGAACGGAAUGGACACAAAAUGUUGCAGGUGUCUUGUGGGAAUGAGAAAAAAAAACGAGGGGGAGAAAAAGCAGAAUAAUAAAUGUCCCACAACUUGCACGUGGAGGGACCGGCUAUCUGAUUCUCAAUCGGUUCAGUGGUGCGAGGGUUGUUGAAUGGCCCUUCUUUUGAAAGUUUCUGGUCAGCAGGACACAGCAUAGUGGCAAUGAUAAUUUUAUGUGCCACUUUAGAAGCCCGCCAGUUAUGUAUAAAGUGGAGGUGUUUACUUAUCAAUCGCCUCGCGUACCUGUCCCAGGAUAGGCGUUCAGUAUGGAUUUGGUGCUUGUCGGAUACGUUUGGGAAAACAUGAAUACUUUGCCUUGAGCACCUUGCUAAGGAAGAGAAGCCAUGGAAUUAGGAUCUGUUGGAUUUCAUCUCACCGCACACAGACCCAGCUAGGACGGGUGAGGGGGCGUAUCCGGACAUGCGCACAUAUGCUGACAAAAUUAACACUUGGCGUGCCUUGUUCCAUUUUUGAAUAUUCGACAAAAAUUAAAAUUUAUUUUGUUUAAACUUUAUCAUC